rnacentral:rRNA from 1 species
UACGGAGGAUGCGAGCGUUAUCCGGAUUUAUUGGGUUUAAAGGGUGCGUAGGCGGACUGUCAAGUCAGCGGUAAAAUUGAGAGGCUCAACCUCUUCCCGCCGUUGAAACUGGUGGUCUUGAGUGGAUGAGAAGUACGCGGAAUGCGUGGUGUAGCGGUGAAAUGCAUAGAUAUCACGCAGAACCCCGAUUGCGAAGGCAGCGUACCGGCAUCCAACUGACGCUGAGGCACGAAAGCGUGGGGAUCAAACAGG